AAGGAAAAGCAUGAAUGGAGAAAGAGAAGUGAAAGACUGAUGUGCUUUUGUUUUUAACUUUCGUAUUUUUUUUAAUAAAAGAAAUGUGCUUUCCAAACAGAAAUUGAUUUCUAUUUUCCCCAAAUUAUAGAAACGGGCCAAAAAAAUUUCAAAUCCAUUUCCCUAAACAUUUUGGAAAUGCAAAAACCUUGCUUGAGUCACAUUUCUGCACUUCAUAGACUACCUUGAGGGCAUGAACUCAGGCUGGGAAAAUGAUCAGCUACAAAGGGUACAUGAUAUCAAUGGAAGUAUCCAAUCACAUUCACAUGCUUUCAAGGUAUAGUCAACUUAACUAAGCUUUAAUCCCAAACCAG
rnacentral:misc_RNA from 1 species